AUACUUACCUGGCAGGGGAGAUACCAUGAUCACGAAGGUGGUUUUCCAGGGCGAGGCUUAUCCAUUGCACUCCGGAUGUUGACUUCGCGAUUUCCCCCCAAAUGUGGGAAACUCUCGACUGGUUGGCCUUGUGGUAGUGGGGGAUCGCGUUCGCGCUUUCCCCUG
rnacentral:snRNA from 1 species